UCAUGUGGUCCCAGCAUAACUGAUAUGGAGUCUAUUUUUGGACCCAAAAGAUGGGAAACAAAUGGGAUUUGCUGAGCACACCAUUAUCUAUAUCACAGGCGGAGGUGUACAGUAGAUAGAUGCAAUAUGAACAUUAACACAGAAGGAGGUAUUAAAGACAUAAAGCUUGAAGGACACUGAACAUUAUGCCAGAUUAAUUUAACCAGGUACAUUGCCUCACCUCUCAGCCAGAUGUCCUUACAUUUCCAGAUAAUAUCAUCAUUCUCCAGUUUACUCGGGCUUUGACCUUCAGUAACAUUUUGGAUCCACUCUCUUUCUCUAUUUAUAAUUAAGUUCAACCUAAUCCUGCACAUUUUAGUUCUGUGGUUCUUUGGCAUCAUACCUGUUCCUUUUCAUUUAAACUAACAGCAGUCUGGCUUAAAGGACUUGUGAAGCUGCACAAAUAAAUGAGAAAUAUUGGAGAGAUGUUCUAUGGGAAAAAAAAAGAUAGCAAAAGGUAGAUUUUCAGGAAUGUCCACAAACAUAGAAGCAAAAAAGUAAAGUCAUAAAGGUAGAUCAAAAAGGCUCAGGAAGAGGUAUAAGAAUUAACACAGUAUCAUCAAAUGAAUGAAGAAAUGAAGUUUGCAAAGGGGGCAUCAUCAAAGGUGACAAAUUCAAGCAGAUGUAAGAAGACAUGUAGACAAGAAGUUUAGACAUUUAUGCUUAUGUCUCUACUAAUAUUGUAUUGGACUGAGGGGCCAGGAGGCAAUGAAUGAAUUGAGAACAUAUUUAGGACAAGGAAUUGAAAUCUCUGUGGCCACCUUUAAACAAUAUGUUUGGCCUCUUCCCCACCAGAGCCUGACAAUUUGCUAAACAAACGAUUAUUAUCAUUGGUGUAAUAGCCAGUUCUUUUUAUUUUCCCCACCUGACCCUCUGCUGGAAUUGCUAAUAAGCUGCAGAAAUGGACAGUGACAGGCAGGGUAUAUGGCUAGAUCAGGAGGCCUUGUUAAUCCACAGGCAGCCUGUCUAGAAAUGAGCAUGUUGCAGGAAUAGGGGUCCUGUAUUCUGAAGUAGAUUCCCCAACUCUUCUAAUCCCCCAAUACCAGGAUAUUAUGUACAGACUGACCACCCUUGAGGACUCUUCACUGCUUUCCAUUUGUCUUUCCCUUUGCUUUGGCUGAAGUAAUUGUUUGCUUUCCAAUGUCCAGAGAUAGC
rnacentral:lncRNA from 1 species